UACGUAGGUGGCAAGCGUUGUCCGGAUUUACUGGGCGUAAAGAGCGCGCAGGCGGUCGUUCAAGUCGAGUGUGAAAGCCCCCGGCUCAACUGGGGAGGGUCACUCGAUACUGAUCGACUCGAAGGCAGGAGAGGGAAGUGGAAUUCCCGGUGUAGUGGUGAAAUGCGUAGAUAUCGGGAGGAACACCAGUGGCGAAGGCGACUUCCUGGCCUGUUCUUGACGCUGAGGCGCGAAAGCUAGGGGAGCAAUCGGG
rnacentral:rRNA from 1 species